CGAGCCCGUCGGUCCGGCCCGGCCGCGCUCCCGCCGCCGCCCCGCCAUGUGGCUGCUGGCCGCCUCCGUGCUGCUCGGCGCCCUGCGCGCAGGUUCUGCCCAGUUGAUACUCACUAGAACAGACGUUGUUGAAAAAAAUGACUGUAAUGAAACUGUCGUUUUACCUUGUUUUGUGACUAAUCUAAGGGAGAACAAUGAAAAUGUCAUGUUUGUUACAUGGAAAAAAGAAGGAAAGGUAAUUUUUUCUUUUCAUGGAGGAAGAAAAGAGUUUUAUAGAGAUGGAGACUUUUCGUCAGCAAAAUUUUUAUCUCAGGCGGAUUUAACCAAGGGUGUGGCCUCUCUGGUGCUUACCACUAGACAAGCAACUGUUGGAAAUUACAGUUGUGAAGUAACAGAAUCAAACAGAGAAGGAGAAACAAAAAUGGAACUUAGGCAGAGCUCAGUUGUCAGUUGCGGCGAUGAAAAUACAACACCAAAGGAAGAAGGUGGAUCAUGGUUCCUCCUAGUGGAAAGGGCUAUCAUCAUAUCAUUGCUGUGCAUAGUUAUUAUUUUGUGUGCGGCUCAGCUCACUGUUAUUGCAUUAAAAUAUGAUAUUGAAUCUCAGAGGAAAGUGUGCAUUAUAGUAACAGUUGUCAUCUUAGCAGUUGUAGCUGGUGUAGGCACUGCUCUUUUCGUCCAAGAUGGCUACACUGCACUGAAUCAAGCUGGUCUUGGCCUAAUUGUAGUCCCUGCUGUGAUUUUGGUACCACUUCAAUACUUCAUGUUUGGAAUUGUUUUUGACAGCCUACCUCAUACAACACUGGCUCUGAUAGGUUUGAAAAUUCUUGGUUAUAUAAUUGCAGUGGUUGGUUUUGCACUGUGUGUCCCAGCCUGUCCUCCAUUACAUGCGUCUGUUCUGAUUGCUGGCUUAGCUAUUAUGGCUACUGCAAGUUUGCUCAGUCUGGUUUACGUGUUUAUUAUGGGUUCCAGAAUGAAAGAUCAUCCUCGUCCAGGGAAUCACUACUUACUGUAUAUGUCAAUUAGAGUAAUUUAACUGUGGCGAGCCAAAAAUAAACAUGAAGGCUUUUUAUACAUAUAUAUAUUUUUAAAUGUUUUGCAGAAAGCUGUAGAAGAACCACUAAAUGAUGCAAAAGGAGUGAUGUUAGAAUGAUGAACUGCCGAGUUAUGUGAUGCGCAAACAAAAUGUACACCGUUGUUGAUACACCGUGGCCUUGAAGAUGCACUACUCAACGAGAAGAAAUUCAGGAAACUGGUUGUUUUGCAUGUGUGGCAAAAGUGCUUUUGAUAUAAAUGACGUAAUUUUAUAGUCACAGCAGCUGUAGCAAGGAACAUGUGUGUUUGCCCACAUGUGAUCUUUAUUUUCUUUUGUUAUGGUAUAUAUGGGAUGGUUGAGGGUGAGAAUAUAGAAAGCACUGUUUGCCCACUACAGGGUCUCCCUGCAGUAAUCCUUAGUGGUAUUAUUUUCAAAAACUAUCAUUAGUCACUGCUUUGAUAAUGGGCCUGCUCAGCCCAGAGGUUGCAAUACCAUUUAGACUAUUGUUUUCUUUAUUUGUGUGCAUGGGCAAAGUAUGGUCUAUGUGUGUGAUACAAGCAGGAAGUAGAGAUUGUAAAAAUACAUCUUUUCUGACAUUCAGCAAAACUUGUAUAAGAAAAAGUAAAAACUUUUACACAAAGUUGCAUAAGUACAAAGUUUACUCCCAGUUCUCCUGAAGUCAUUAACAGAGUUCUAAUUCCACAAAACAUUAGUAUUCCUCUCUCUGGACAGUAGCCAGGUAUGCUGUGGUGGCCGGUAUUUUUGUCCAGUGAGAGAGCUCUCCGUGCCUCCUCUGUAUUCCUGGAUGAGAAACUGCUCAGCUGUUGGAGCCUAAUUCAGCACUGGAAUUACGGAGCACAGCAGUUAGUAAUUUUCAUGCUGAAUGUGGUUCUUGUGUGUGUGUUCAUGUUGUGCAGUGUGUGGUACUGGAAGCAAUUUCAGGCUUUCUUAACUCAGUGAAUUUGUAAAAGUCGUGGAUGCUUCAUAAAAAUAGGAGUCGUCCAAUUUAGUGUAUUUUUGGCAGAGUUUUAGAAUCUUGUUUUCUUGAAUGGAAAAAAGGAGCUAUAUAAUUUUUCACCGAAGUUUAUGUUGUUGCCAUUAUAUCACAAAUACAUAAAAUACAAAGUAAGUAGGAGGAGCUGAUGAGAAAUGAGGAAGCUCAGUUUCUGUAUAUAUAUAUAUGUGGUACAGUUAAAAAUCAGUUUUCUAGGACUUGCACAUUCCAUGGGAUUUUACCACAUUUUACAGCUGUUAUGAGAGUUGUUCCAAUAUACUUGGUUUCUCUUGGACUUUGUGUAUACUUUGUAGAAAUCUUGACACUGUCUGCUGUUUGUACUAAGGUAUUGUAUUUCAAAGAUACACAUGGUUUUCUCCUAACAAUUUAAAACUUGGUUUGAAAAGCUGUUGCCAAGCAGUUACGUAAUAAAAUCCACGUUUUUAAAGAUUCUGAGUAAUUUGGCACUUCUCAGAGUUGAAUGUUACAAAGUAAGGUUCCAUAUCCAUAUCGUGGGUGCAUGUUGCAGAAAUUUGGGUCUCUGCAUGUUGAGCUCCAAGUCUUGAUGCACUUGGCAUCAAGAAUUCAACAAAACAAAAUUGAGAUACCUGAUUUUACAAGAGGUGCUGUUGUAAAUAGCCCUCUUGCUAAGGCUGCAGGAUUGAACCAUUUAAAGCAACCUGUGGUCCAGCCCUCACUAGGAUCAGUGGAACUGGGCACAGAGAAGAGGAUCAUUCAUGUGAUAAAACAUGGAAGAAGCAUGUGUGGCUUACACUCACUGUCGUACUUUGUCAGUGGGAGUGUUCAUGUAAGAUUUGAGCUCUUACCUAUGAAUCUUUUGAUACAGGUUUUUCCAUAAUGUCAGUGAUCUCUAGCUAAAGAUGGGAGAUGAUUCUCCAUUAACAAUUCAGUGUAAGAAUUUAUCUGAUUAGUACUGUGCAGUGCUCCCUAUUUAUAACUAGUGAUUCCCUCUGGCAAGUUGAAAGUCUAGCAGCUGAGGAAAUAAAAAACCAAAUCAACUGGAAUUCUGUUGAGGUAUUCUGCCUUAUAAAAACUGUUAUGUACAAUAGCUUUAUGUUAACUUCUGUAAAGCAAACUGCAGCAGAGCCCAGUUUGUGUCACCAUGGGAUCAGGCCGAGCUCAAAACCUGAGGAGCUCAGUGUCCAUGUAGGAGCUGCAGAAUCAGUUGCCCCAGAAAUGGGAGAAACCCACUGUCCUGUUGUGUCAAGGGCUGGAUUUUUUGUAGGUACAAACUUAAAAGCAAGAGUUUAAAAAGUCAUUGAUACAUCCAGCCCUUUUCCACCAGUAAUUUAAGACCAAAGUUGUUCAUAACUGUAUGCUUUCAUUUGUGUGUGUACAUGUGUGUAUAUAUAAACAUACAGACAUUUGAAAUAUCUAUAGAUCUAUAGUCUUUACCCAAGAAAAUGUUUUUAUUUAUUAAACAAGAAAUGAUUUUGUAAAUAUCGUGCUAAUAUACUUAAAAAAUAAAGUCAUUUUAAGUUGUU